GACGAACGCUGGCGGCGUGCUUAACACAUGCAAGUCGAACGGAAAGGCCCUGCUUUUGUGGGGUGCUCGAGUGGCGAACGGGUGAGUAACACGUGAGUAACCUGCCCUUGACUUUGGGAUAACUUCAGGAAACUGGGUCUAAUACCGGAUAGGAGCUCCUGCUGCAUGGUGGGGGUUGGAAAGUUUCGGCGGUUGGGGAUGGACUCGCGGCUUAUCAGCUUGUUGGUGGGGUAGUGGCUUACCAAGGCUUUGACGGGUAGCCGGCCUGAGAGGGUGACCGGCCAAAUUGGGACUGAGAUACGGCACAGACUACUACGGGAGGCAGCAGUGGGGAAGAUUGCACAAUGGGCGGAAGCCUGAUGCAGCAACGCCGCGUGCGGGAUGACGGCCUUCGGGUUGUAAACCGCUUUCGCCUGUGACGAAGCGUGAGUGACGGUAAUGGGUAAAGAAGCACCGGCUAACUACGUG
rnacentral:rRNA from 1 species